rnacentral:rRNA from 1 species
GACAGAGGAUGCAAGCGUUAUCCGGAAUGAUUGGGCGUAAAGCGUCUGUAGGUGGCUUUUCAAGUCCGCCGUCAAAUCCCAGGGCUCAACCCUGGACAGGCGGUGAAAACUACCAAGCUGGAGUACGGUAGGGGCAGAGGGAAUUUCCGGUGGAGCGGUGAAAUGCAUUGAGAUCGGAAAGAACACCAACGGCGAAAGCAGCGUCCUGGCGAGCAACUGACGCUCAUGUGCGAAAGCUAGGGGAGCGAACGGG